GAUGAACGCUGGCGGCGUUCCUAAUACAUGCAAGUCGAGCGAACGGACGAGAAGCUUGCUUCUCUGAUGUUAGCGGCGGACGGGUGAGUAACACGUGGAUAACCUACCUAUAAGACUGGGAUAACUUCGGGAAACCGGAGCUAAUACCGGAUGAUAUUUUGAACCGCAUGGUUCAAAAGUGAAAGACGGUCUUGCUGUCACUUAUAGAUGGAUCCGCGCUGCAUUAGCUAGUUGGUAAGGUAACGGCUUACCAAGGCAACGAUGCAUGGCCGACCUGAGAGGGUGAUCGGCCACACUGGAACUGAGACACGGUCCAGACUCCUACGGGAGGCAGCAGUAGGGAAUCUUCCGCAAUGGGCGAAAGCCUGACGGAGCAACGCCGCGUGAGUGAUGAAGGUCUUCGGAUCGUAAAACUCUGUUAUUAGGGAAGAACAUAUGUGUAAGUAACUGUGCACAUCUUGACGGUACCUAAUCAGAAAGCCACGGCUAACUACGUG
rnacentral:rRNA from 1 species